rnacentral:misc_RNA from 1 species
CGCAUCUUGCGCUCCCUGGUAUUCCGGGGAGCAUGCCUGUUCGAGUGUCGUAAACUUCUCAAUCCAGCUAGUUUUUGCGAACUAUUUGCUGGCAUUGGAUUUGGGCUUUGCUGCGUCAAUGCAGCUGGCCUUAAAAGUAUUAGCUGAAUCUUGUCUGAUGAAGACUGGUUUGACUCGGCGUGAUAAUUAUCUGACCGCUGAGGACAUCGCAAGAUGGCCAGACUUUUUGACUGAGAGUCGCUUCUAAUCGUCGGUUUAUCUGACAAGUUACUUCACCCCUUUGACCUCGAAUCAGGUAGGACUACCCGCUGAACUUAA